GUGGGGAAUAUUGGGCAAUGGGCGCAAGCCUGACCCAGCAACGCCGCGUGAAGGAAGAAGGCUUUCGGGUUGUAAACUUCUUUUGUCAGGGAAGAUGAACAGACUGUACCUGACGAAUAAGCCACGGCUAACUACGUGCCAGCAGCCGCGGUAAUACGUAGGUGGCAAGCGUUGUCCGGAUUUACUGGGUGUAAAGGGCGUGUAGGCGGGAUUGCAAGUCAGGCGUGAAAACCAGGGGCUCAACCUCUGGCCUGCGUUUGAAACUGUAGUUCUUGAGUACUGGAGAGGUUGACGGAAUUCCUAGUGUAGCGGUGAAAUGCGUAGAUAUUAGGAGGAACACCAGUGGCGAAGGCGGUCAACUGGACAGCAACUGACGCUGAGGCGCGAAAGCGUGGGGAGCAAACAGGAUUAGAUACCCCUGUAGUCC
rnacentral:rRNA from 1 species